GUUUCUGUGGGUUAAUGUUUAACACACUGGCAUCCUAAGCCAGGGAUUUGGGUUCAAGUCCUAUCUGGGAUG
rnacentral:tRNA from 1 species